rnacentral:lncRNA from 1 species
AACCUUCCAGUUCCUCCAGUGACCGUUCCUAAUCUUCCGGUUCCUCCAGUGACCGUUCCAAACCUUCCCGUUCCUCCGGUGAUUCCUCACCUUCCUAACCUUCCAGUUCCUCCAGUGACCGUUCCAAACCUUCCAGUUCCUCCAGUGACAGUUCCUAACCUUCCAAUCCCUCCAGUGCUUAAUCCACCAAGCACAGGAGGGAGUACACCCAAAGGGAGCACACCCAAAGGGAGUACACCUAAAGGUAACUGUCCACCAAAGACUACACCGGUGAAAAACACGUGUCCAAUCGACACUUUGAAAUUGGGUG